CCUACGGGAGGCAGCAGUGGGGAAUAUUGGACAAUGGGCGAAAGCCUGAUCCAGCCAUGCCGCGUGUGUGAAGAAGGCCUUCGGGUUGUAAAGCACUUUCAGUGGGGAAGAAAGCCUUGGGGCUAAUACCCUCGAGGAAGGACAUCACCCACAGAAGAAGCACCGGCUAACUCCGUGCCAGCAGCCGCGGUAAUACGGAGGGUGCGAGCGUUAAUCGGAAUUACUGGGCGUAAAGCGCGCGUAGGCGGUCUGAUAAGCCGGUUGUGAAAGCCCCGGGCUCAACCUGGGAACGGCAUCCGGAACUGUCAGGCUAGAGUGCAGGAGAGGAAGGUAGAAUUCCCGGUGUAGCGGUGAAAUGCGUAGAGAUCGGGAGGAAUACCAGUGGCGAAGGCGGUCUUCUGGACUGACACUGACGCUGAGGUGCGAAAGCAUGGGUAGCAAACAGGAUUAGAUACCCUAGUAGUC
rnacentral:rRNA from 1 species